UGCGUAGGCGGAAUAUUAAGUCAGUGGUGAAAUCCUGCGGCUCAACCGUAGAACUGCCAUUGAUACUGAUAUUCUUGAAUGUAGUUGAGGUAGGCGGAAUGUGUAAUGUAGCGGUGAAAUGCUUAGAUGUUACACAGAACACCGAUUGCGAAGGCAGCUUACUAAACUAUGAUUGACGCUGAGGCACGAAAGCGUGGGGAGCGAACAGGAUUAGAUACCCUGGUAGUC
rnacentral:rRNA from 1 species